CUAGCACUUUUCACAGGUCCUCCCUUAGUCAGUGGGUCGGGAUUUGGUAGCUGGUGCUGAGAGAAAAUCCUUGAUUACAUCCUUGCCCUGAUACUAUACCAGUGGCAGCUGUUACUCAAGGGAACAAUG